rnacentral:rRNA from 1 species
GACAGAGGGUGCAAACGUUGCUCGGAAUUACUGGGCGUAAAGCGCGUGUAGGCGGGCCUUCAAGUCGGACGUGAAAUCCCUGAGCUCAACUCAGGAACUGCAUCCGAAACUGAAGGCCUGGAGUAGUGGAGAGGGAAGCAGAAUUCCUGGUGUAGAGGUGAAAUUCGUAGAUAUCAGGAGGAACACCGGUGGCGAAGGCGGCUUCCUGGACACUUACUGACGCUGAGACGCGAAAGCGUGGGGAGCGAACAGG